rnacentral:rRNA from 1 species
CCCUUAGAUGUUCUGGGCUGCACGCGUGCUACACUGAUUAUUUCAACAAGUGUUUUAACUGGAGAGUUUGCGUAAUCCUGAAAUGCUAUCGUGAUGGGAGUAGAGUAUUGUAUUUGUUAAUCUUUAACGAGGAAUUCCUAGUAAGUGUAGGUUUAUAAGUUGUUCUGAUUACGUCCCUGCCCUUUGUACACACCGCCCGUCGCACCAACCGAUUGGAUGUUUUGUUGAAAUAUGUGGGUGCUUGUUGGGUGAAUUCAUUUUUGCUUGAUAGACAGAAACGUAUUAAAACUGAAUAUCUAGAGGAUGGUGAAGUCGUAACA